rnacentral:misc_RNA from 1 species
CUGUCAACGCCGGCUCGGGCAUCACGACGUCGCAGCCGUUGGUCAUCAAGUGGAGGAAUAUCAGGAUCCGACCGCUAUCCAGCGGACGCUGAACCGCUGGAUAGCGGUCGACGUAUUGCACGAUCAUCGUCUACUCCGGCGCGGGCGAUUGUCCACGCAGAAUUGGGAGGCUGUCCAUGGAAGCGGCACGCAAGACAUCACUAAUGGGCAAGUGGUAUUUGAUCGAAGACAGCACGCCAGAACGGCCCGUUCCCGAUCACCGCGCCGACCUUGAGUUCGAGGACACUGAGGGAACCCUGCGGGGAUAUCUGCUCUCGCGGGUGUCCGAGGACCGGUUCCCGCUCGCGGCCUGUGAAUGGGACGGACGCUCGUUACGCUUGCAAAUGCGAGGUCCCGAUGGAGUUCACGUCAGCCCCGUGUUGGCGCUGAACGCGACCGACCAGAACCACUUCGUAGGUCGGUGGACACCUGAUACGCCACUGAUGAAGCUGGUCCGACAGUUGCCGUAGGCUCCGCCCCGCGCUCGGCUCGUUCAGACGAGUCCGUGGAUGAGCGCGCUGAAAUCGGAAGCUGGCAUCACGGACGAGAUCGCAACGAACGCGACAUACACGAGCCACAACGGUACGGCGAAUCGUAAGGCACCCACACGAUGCACCGUACCGAACCCGAUGGCCAUGAGGCCGAUCCACCACAACGUAAACGGAUUUAUCGAUGCAAUGGCGGCCGGAAGGGUCACGGGGAUCACGAUCGUCAGCGUGGCGCUGAGCACGAUCGCGUUCGACCAGUAGUUGUACAGCGCGACAUAGCUGGCCUCCAGCACCAAGACCAGCGAGGCGAGGCUCACAACCCACAGUACGGUCGCAAAUGGCACGGUCACACGCGUCAUUGGCGGGGUAACGUACCAAAAGACCGCGCUCACGAUGAGCAGGGCCACCGCCGUGGACAUCGCGCGGCUGGUGCCGUACGCGUACCAGAUCCCGCGGCGGUAGAAGUCUGCGGCCACACGCAUGACCUGCAGGUCCCGUUCCACGACGCCGCCACGAAGCUUGUCAAGCUGGGCGCGCUGUUCCGUUGCGAUCGCGCCCUGUCCUGUCGGCGUUGCCAUGUACGCGGCAAUGGGCACGGUCGCGCCGAGGCUGACCACCGCGAGCGCGACCGCCGCCAUCAGAAAGGAGACCCGUCCGUCACGAACGAAUGCCGCUCGCUGGCCCAACAGCGCGAGGAAACACCGUUCAAACAUGCUGUCUGCUCGAGAAUCGCCGACGUCGUUGCGUCUGAUCGCCUACAUGAUAGGCAGUUCAAAGAAGCACGGAAUGAGCCAAUGGAGUUGGCAGUCACUGCCCAUGAGGAAGCCACGACACAUCAAGUAGUGGCUGUACCACUUGCAUUUGCAGAUUGGGCACCGCUCCGGGAGAGGUGCAGCCCCCUCGCCGUCACCCCCGCCGUCAUCCUGAUGAUCCUCUGCGUGCACUACAGCGACACUCCCUG